UACAGAGGUCCCAAGCGUUGUUCGGAUUCACUGGGCGUAAAGGGUGCGUAGGUGGCGGGGUAAGUUCGAUGUGAAAUACCCGGGCUCAACCCGGGAAUGGCAUGGAAUACUAUCUCGCUCGAGGAUCGGAGGGGAGACUGGAAUUCUCGGUGUAGCAGUGAAAUGCGUAGAUAUCGAGAGGAACACCAGUGGCGAAGGCGAGUCUCUGGACGAUUCUUGACACUGAGGCACGAAAGCUAGGGGAGCAAACAGG
rnacentral:rRNA from 1 species